rnacentral:rRNA from 1 species
UCUCUCACGUAUGUACUUGUUAAGCCUUUAAGAGAAAAGUUUACAACUUAAGGAAUUAUAACAAAGAAGUAACACAUAAUAAGUUUACCUUAUUUAGUGUGUAUCAAUCGAGUUUCUGACCUAUCAGCUUUUGAUGUUAGGGUAUUGGCCUAACAUGGCUAUGACGGGUAACGGGGAAUUAGAGUUCGAUUCCGGAGAGGGAGCCUGAGAAAUAGCUACCACAUCUAAGGAAGGCAGCAGGCGCGUAAAUUACCCAAUUCUAAAGAAGAGAGGUAGUGACAAGAAAUAACAAUACAAGGCCAUUUCAUGGUUUUGUAAUUGGAAUGAUGGGAAUUUAAAACCUUCCCAAAAUUCAAUUGGAGGGCAAGUCUGGUGCCAGCAGCCGCGGUAAUUCCAGCUCCAAUAGCGUAUAUUAAAAUUGUUGCAGUUAAAACGCUCGUAGUUGAAUUUCAAAGAAUCAAUAUUUUAAGUAAUGCUUUUGGUUUAAGAUGCUUAGGCAAUACCACGUAUCUGCUCUUUGCAUUCCUUAUCCAAAAUGUGUUCUUAUUAUAAAAAGGAUUCUUUUUAAAAUCUCCUUUACUUUCUUGUACAGGAGAUUUUGUUACUUUGAGUAAAUUAGAGUGUUCAAAGCAAACAGUUAAAGCAUUUUACUGCGUUUGAAUACUACAGCAUGGAAUAACAAAAUUGAACAAGUCAAAAUUCUGUUCCUUUUUCUUAUUUUGGCU